GGCAACCGUGAUAUUUCUGAUUUCUAUUUUUGUAUUGGAGAGCUUAUGUGAUGAGUUCGAAACCAGGUGUUUGUUAUUUAACAAAAAAUGUGUGAGCCACUGCCCGCGAAACAUGCACCCGUACCACACGCGCUGUGAAGUGGAUACUAUGUCCCAGAGGACGUGUGACGAGCCGUUUGUUUAUACUCUUGGCUACACAUGCGGUUGGUCUCGAUGCGAUUGCAACGGCGAACUGCUUCUCGACGAGCGGACCCACUCGUGUGUCGACUACUUUACCUGCACCCAUGAAUACAAGAAGAAAUUAACGGGAAGGAGAAGGGAGGGCAUGUACAAGAUGCCGAAGAAAAUACGGUUCCCA